UACGUAGGUGGCAAGCGUUGUCCGGAUUUACUGGGCGUAAAGGGCAAGCAGGCGGAUUGUUAAGUAGAAAGUGAAAGGUCGGAGCUCAACUCCAACAUUGCUUUCUAUACUGGCAGUCUUGAGUCCCGGAGGGGAAAGCGGAACGACACGUGUAGCGGUGAAAUGCGUUGAUAUGUGUCGGAACACCAAUGGCGAAGGCAGCUUUCUGGACGGGAACUGACGCUCAUUUGCGAAAGCCGAGGGAGCGAACAGG
rnacentral:rRNA from 1 species